rnacentral:rRNA from 1 species
GAUGAACGCUGGCGGCGUGCUUAACACAUGCAAGUCGAACGGAAAGGCUCCUGCUUGCUGGGGUACUCGAGUGGCGAACGGGUGAGUAACACGUGGGUGAUCUGCCCUGCACUUCGGGAUAAGCCUGGGAAACUGGGUCUAAUACCGGAUAGGACGAUGGUUUGGAUGCCAUUGUGGAAAGUUUUUUCGGUGUGGGAUGAGCUCGCGGCCUAUCAGCUUGUUGGUGGGGUAAUGGCCUACCAAGGCGUCGACGGGUAGCCGGCCUGAGAGGGUGUACGGCCACAUUGGGACUGAGGUAGGGCCCAGACUCCAACGGGAGGCAGCAGUGGGAAAUAUUGCGCAAUGGGCGCAAGCCUGAUGCAGCGACGCCGCGUGGGGGAUGACGGCCUUCGGGUUGUAAACUCCUUUCGCUAGGGACGAAGCGCAAGUGACGGUACCUGGAGAAGAAGCACCGGCUAACUACGUG